UUCUAGUGCCAUUUUUUCGGUCUAGCGUGAAUUUUAGAAUUAUUGGUGCCAACAACCGCCCAAAGAAUAUCCAAGAAAUUCUACAGUGUACACGAAAGGAUACAGUGCAUGAAUGUUGAAUUACACCGCGCGUGAAAGCUGCUCUAAAAAUUAUGAGACAUGCAUGAAUAAAAUGAGUGCCCUUCCAUGGGAGACCUUUAUUCAAGCAAACCUCUUGGCUACAGGUGUUGUCAAUGGAGUGGCUGUUUUAACCAAGAGUGGGCAAUGUGCUUUUCUUCAUGGACGUUUAUACAAUCUAGAGAAGGUGAAUUGGAAGCAGUUCUUGGAAAUAUUUCAGUAUUCAUCAGAAAAACACAAUGAUCAAAUAUUUGAAAAUGGGUUCCGUCUUCAGUUCCCUGGACAAAGAGAAAUUCAGUACAAAGUUUACCAAAAAACUUACUUGCCUAUGCCACCUCUCAGGGGAACCAGGAAGGGCUGAUAGUGUGUAACCUGCCAUAUGGGAUCCUCAUUAGUACCUUCAGUUACCCCCAGGUGGCAGCAGUGGCGGUGAAGGUGGUGGAGAAUUUCUGUGACAAGUUGAGAGCGUGAAAUGAGACCAAGAGAAAGAUUUAGCAAUUAUAUACUGCUGAAAAUUGGAAGUGGUGUACACUAGGUGCUAUACAGAAUGGCUGGCAUCAUUUUUUGAAGACAUGUUACAGAUAUCCACAGCAGACUUGGACUUUGCAAAGGGUACUGUGGUAGAAUAUAAACACAUAUUAUUACCUCCCAAAACCAGGUCAAGAAUGAAAGACAUGACAAAUUCUGCCCCAAAGUGAGGAAUGCAGACAUCAGAGAAGAGUUGAUCAUGGUAACUGGGUUGACAAGACCAGUAUGAUAAAAGGGGUUCCUCCUAAGUAUAUGUGUAUGUGUUGCCAUGGUAAAAUAGAAACAUGAUUGUUUUUCCUUACUUAAUGAAUCUCAACUCAUAGAACACGCAACCAUAUUUAUGGAUUUACUAUGUAUCAGAGGCAAAAUGAGGGAUGGCUUAAAUGCCACCCUCCCCACUCAGCUUACACGGAAAUAUAUAUUCCGUUGUGAUUGGCUCACUCACACAGAUUAAAAAAAAUGGUAUGUACUUUUAAAUAAAAAGCAUGUGCAAGCAUAUUUCAUUUAAGCCCUCCCUCAUUUUUACACUCACAGAAAUACAAUCAAACAUCAGCUUAACAAGGUAGUCUUUAAUUUCGAAUUCUAUUUCAUAUUAAAAUAUAGGUCAGUCUUAAAUGGGACUUUGAAGUAAAACGUGACAAACAUCUACAAUCUGCUAAUCUCCAAUUUGAAUAAUAACAGAUAAAAUGGCACCUCUUGCUGUAUUCAAACUGUACCAUGCCAAACCGUCUGAACUGUCUUGUCAGAAAUUCAAUCACUUCUUCCAUGUGGUGAAUAUAAAUCAGUUUCCCUCUUAUUAUUUUUACUGCUCUAUUUAAUCCAGUGUUUAAUGAAUACAUUAUACUGUUUCCUUGCCUCUCUUCUCCAAUUCUCCAAGAAGGCAUGAGUAUGUUGGUUAAUCAGAGGCCAAGUCUAGUCUAAAUUUCUGGGUAAAUGCGAGGGGCGGUCAUGUUUGUGCCGUAAUGCUGUGUGCUUAUCCUUAGGCAUUUGUUCUUGACAGAUGUCGGUAAUUAACUGCAUGAAAGGCUCCAAUACAACUGGCCCUGCUCGGUCGACUCCAGUCAGCUCAGCACUAAUGAUGUCAUAGAAUUGAUUGUUGGCUUUGUUUUGCCCUGUGGGCUCAGUUUCCCCCCAUGGAAAUUAACAUUUGACAAAUACCUUGUGCAGUUUAAUUCUAACCAGUUUGUAGACAGUUUGAAAGCACAGUCACCGUUUUCAGAGUCCCAAACUGCUGAACAAUCCCCCCGAUAGUGUGCCUCUGUCACUAAAUUCUGCUCUGCUCCUACGUCUAGGUUCAGACGUAGGUACCUUGUACUUAGUGUGAGAAGGCAACUCCUUUGAGUGCCCAGCCUCCACCUCCAUUCUGACAUCUGACCCUUGAGAUUCUUAAUUCUCAGUAGUCAUGUCAGAUGUACCAGCUGACUCAUCAGUUUUUGUAAUUCUUUGAGGCGUCACUCCUGACAACAAUGCCUCCUCCUCAUCAGAAUCAAUCUCCAUUUCCUCGCCCAUAAUCACCCUUUGGUGAGUUAUGGUAGGAUCCUCUUUGAGCCUAAUGUCCUUUGACAUUUCCAGGCCUGCUGAUGCAGUACUAGGCCCUUGUUUAGCAGGUAAUGGAAUGUGAAUAACAUUUUCACAUAUCCACUUAUGCCGCUCAAAACCAAAUUCUCUCAGGUCUCGAGCCACCUGCCUUUUCCAGUUGUUAUUUUUCUUGCCUUUAGCUAAUUCCAACUGACCCUUGAGGAUAGCCUUUGCUUCCUCAAAGCAUGUCACGGGGGCACAUGGCUAAUCUUUCUGCUAACUUUUUAGCAGAGGCAAGUCGUCCCUGGCGGUUGUCCUCUUUAAAACAUUCCACCAGUCUUCUCCAAUCUUCUGUUCUCGGCAUCUGUACAAAAACAUAAGAGAUUAAGAAAAUAAUUCACUUAAGUUAAUUUAACUGUAAGCAAAUCAAUUCCUCUAAAUCAGUACUUUUACUAUAAUGCACAUGAUGGUAAAAUUACCUGCUUUUCUUCUUCUUUCCCAGGCGUCAUUAUUUUAUCAUAAACAAAAGCCCUUCCUAAUUCAUAGUACUGGCAAGUGAGGACUGUGAAGUGCUGGCUAGUGGUUCUUCUAAACAGGACAUGUCAUUUUGAGAGGCUUCUCCUGUCUCCAAUCCAUCUAGUAACUAAAUAAGAAAUAUAUCUGAUAUGAGUUUUCGAAAGCUACAAUGACAACUAUAUCAAAAUAAACAACUCCCCUUUUGCUGUUGUGAAUUAAAAUUGAUGAGCGGUCAGAAAUUGCACGGUUUUCAUUUUUCGUUACUCUUAUCUACGUAACUGAAAUAAAAUAUCAUGAGUUAAUACGGUGUUGGGAGGCAAAAUAUAAUGUAUAGCACCGGGGCUAUGUAUAAGCGGGUCUAAAUAAAGGAAAAGGGCUUACCUUAACUUGAUGGCUUGCUGAUUCCGUGAUUUCUUGAUUUUACUACUUCUCUCUCAAUUGGCACUGCAGAGCGCCUUAGGCGCCAUGCUCUAACUUGUCACACUCUAUAACACUGCGCAUGCGCCGUGACACGCUUCCGGGUCAUAUAAUGACCCCUCGGCACUACACUCUCCCCCGUUUUACCUUGAAGGACCGUGCCUUCUCGGCCGUAUCAGUGCCGAAUCACAAAAAAGCCCCACUUUCCACCGUGGGAAAGGGGAUUACCCUCCGGUCCCCG
rnacentral:misc_RNA from 1 species